AUUGAACGCUGGCGGCAGGCUUAACACAUGCAAGUCGAACGAGUGGCGGACGGGUGAGUAAUGCUUGGGAAUCUAGCUUAUGGAGGGGGAUAACUACGGGAAAAUGUAGCUAAUACCGCGUACCAUAGGAGGAGCCCAUGUGUGAUUAGGUAGUUGGUGGGGUAAAGGCUCACCAAGCCGACGAUCUGUAGCUGGUCUGAGAGGAUGACCAGCCACACUGGGACUGAGACACGGCCCAGACUCCUACGGGAGGCAGCAGUGGGGAAUAUUGGGCAAUGGGGGCAACCUGACGCAGCCAUGCCGCGUGAAUGAAGAAGGCCUUCGGGUUGUAAAGUUCUUUUGGCAGGGAGGCGUUACCUACAGAAGAAGCACCGGCUAACUCCGUGCCAGCCGCCGCGGUAAUUC
rnacentral:rRNA from 1 species